GAAGAAAUGAGUUUUGGCAGCCCAGCCAAUGGGAUAUUAAAGAAAUUAAUCCAGAAGGGAUGUAAUGACCUGAAAAAAAUGAUGAGCAAAGACCAGAAGGAUCAGAUGCGAGAAGAAGGGAGCAGGCAGAAUGGACUUCAGUGCAACAGGGAAUUAAACUGAAAUCAUUAAAUUAUUUCUACUUAGCACUUUAGAGAACAUUUCUAUCCAGCCUGCCUAAGGUGACCAUAACAACAUCACCCCACAUGGAGAAGCCACUAGAACAUGUGUAGAUGCUUCAGUCCACAAUCCAAGCUAAACUCCCAGUCAAUAGCCACCAUCACGCCAGCCAUGUGAGUGAGUCAGACUGGUCAAGCCUUCAGAUGGGAGAAAGUCAAGCAUCCAACU